rnacentral:rRNA from 1 species
CNAGUUACGAUUCGCCCUUAGAGUUUGAUCAUGGCUCAGGAUGAACGCUAGCGGCAGGCUUAACACAUGCAAGUCGAGGGGCAGCAUGUCCAGCAAUGGAUGAUGGCGACCGGCGGAAGGGUGCGUAACGCGUGAGCAACAUGCCCUAUACAGGGAGAUACACCAGGGAAACUUGGUCUAAUAUCCCAUAGCAUUCAUUGAAGGCAUCUUUAAUGAAUUAAAGCUUCGGUGGUAUAGGAUUGGCUCGCGUGACAUUAGCCAGAUGGUGAGGUAACGGCUCACCAUAGCAAUGAUGUCUAGGGGUUUUGAGAGGAAGGCCCCCCACACUGGGACUGAGACACGGCCCAGACUCCUACGGGAGGCAGCAGUGAGGAAUAUUGGACAAUGGAUGGAAAUCUGAUCCAGCCAUGCCGCGUGCAGGAAGACGGCCUUAUGGGUUGUAAACUGCUUUUAUACGGGAGCAAUAAGGGUUACGAGUAAUCCGAUGAGAGUACUGUAUGAAUAAGGAUCGGCUAACUCCGUGCCAGCAGCCGCGGUAAUACGGAGGAUCCGAGCGUUAUCCGGAAUUAUUGGGUUUAAAGGGUGCGUAGGCGGCCAUUUAAGUCAGCGGUGAAAUUUUGCAGCUUAACUGUAACAGUGCCGUUGAUACUGUUUGGCUAGGAUUUGGUUGUAGUGUGCGGAAUGUGUGGUGUAGCGGUGAAAUGCUUAGAUAUCACACAGAACACCGAUUGCGAAGGCAGCACACUAAGUCAUUAUUGACGCUGAGGCACGAAAGUGUGGGGAUCAAACAGGAUUAGAUACCCUGGUAGUCCACACUGUAAACGAUGAUAACUCGCUA